GUUUCCCAUUGAUGCCUCUCCUCCUCCUCCUCCCUGUUCCAGAGCCCCGCCUUUUCCUGUUGUGCUGUGGAGAUGACCCUUCUGCCCCUUGGAGAACUUUAACUGAGGGAGGGACAGAUGUGGAACUUGCCAGCUCUCCUACAGUUCUUGGCAUCUUCGAGUCAGCCCCAGACACAGCAGAGACACACAGAUGCAGUCCAAGGGCUGCAUUCCAGCAGACGGUCAUCUAGCCCAGUUGCUCCCAGCCAAGUCGACUGUCAGAAUCACCUGAUCUUAGUUCCCCGACCAGGGAUCGAACCC